AGCCUUUGUGUUGUCCCUUCACUUUUGGAAACUAGCGAAUGUGGUGUCAAAAAAGGCGGAACGCUUUGCAGCCUUUUCCUGUCCUUGAAUUGGAUAUUGUUGGUGUAGGAGCUGCAUAAGUAACAGUU
ensembl:snoRNA